GAUCCUGGCUCAGGAUGAACGCUAGCGGCAGGCCUAAUACAUGCAAGCCGACGGCAAGUUGAGUAGCAAUACUUGACCUAGAGUGGCGUAAGGGUGCGUAACACGUAUGCAAUCUGCCCACAGCCGGGAGAUAGCCUCCGAAAGGAGGAUUAAUAUCCCAUAGGAAGAUGAGAUGGCAUCAUUUAUUUUUAAACUACGGGGGCUGUGGAUGAGCAUGCGGUUGAUUAGCUAGUUGGCGGGGUAAAGGCCCACCAAGGCGAUGAUCAAUAGGGGACCUGAGAGGGUGAUCCCCCACACUGGCACUGAGAUACGGGGCCAGACUCCUACGGGAGGCAGCAGUAGGGAAUAUUGGACAAUGGGUGUAAGCCUGAUCCAGCCAUGCCGCGUGCAGGAAGAAGGCCUUCUGGGUUGUAAACUGCUUUUGCCGGGGGAUAAAAGAUCCAUGCGUGGAGAAUUGAAGGUACCCGGUGAAUAAGCCACGGCUAACUACGUG
rnacentral:rRNA from 1 species